GAUGAACGCUGGCGGCGUGCCUAAUACAUGCAAGUCGAGCGAACAGACGAGGAGCUUGCUCCUCUGACGUUAGCGGCGGACGGGUGAGUAACACGUGGAUAACCUACCUAUAAGACUGGGAUAACUUCGGGAAACCGGAGCUAAUACCGGAUAAUAUAUUGAACCGCAUGGUUCAAUAGUGAAAGACGGUUUUGCUUUCACUUAUAGAUGGAUCCGCGCCGCAUUAGCUAGUUGGUAAGGUAACGGCUUACCAAGGCAACGAUUCGUAGCCGACCUGAGAGGGUGAUCGGCCACACUGGAACUGAGACACGGUCCAGACUCCUACGGGAGGCAGCAGUAGGGAAUCUUCCGCAAUGGGCGAAAGCCUGACGGAGCAACGCCGCGUGAGUGAUGAAGGUCUUCGGAUCGUAAAACUCUGUUAUUAGGGAAGAACAAAUGUGUAAGUAACUAUGCACGUCUUGACGGUACCUAAUCAGAAAGCCACGGCUAACUACGUG
rnacentral:rRNA from 1 species